GACGAACGCUGGCGGCGUGCUUAACACAUGCAAGUCGAACGGUGAAGCGCCUUCCUUUUUGGUGGGUGUGGAUGAGUGGCGAACGGGUGAGUAACACGUGAGUAACCUGCCCCCUUCUUCUGGAUAACCGCAUGAAAGUGUGGCUAAUACGGGAUAUUCUGGGUCUGUCGCAUGAUGGGUCUGGGAAAGAUAUUGUUUCGGUGGGGGAUGGGCUCGCGGCCUAUCAGCUUGUUGGUGGGGUGAUGGCCUACCAAGGCGGUGACGGGUAGCCGGCCUGAGAGGGUGGGCCGGCACACCGGGACUGAGACACGGCCCAGACUCCGACGGGAGGCAGCGGUGGGGAAUAUUGCACAAUGGGCGCAAGCCUGAAGCAGCGACGCCGCGUGAGGGAUGGAGGCCUUCGGGUUGUGAACCUCUUUCGCCAGUGAAGCAGGCCUGCCUCGUUUGUGGGUGGGUUGACGGUAGCUGGAUAAGAAGCGCCGGCUAACUACGUG
rnacentral:rRNA from 1 species